rnacentral:rRNA from 1 species
GGACUACUCGGGUAUCUAAUCCCGUUCGCUCCCCUGGCUUUCGUGUCUCAGCGUCAGCAAAUUCCCAGCAGACUGUCUUCACCUUUGGCGUUCCAAGUGAUAUCUACGCAUUUCACCGCUCCACCACUUGUUCCAUCUGCCCCUGAAUUGCUCAAGAUCGCCAGUAUACCCAGCAGUUCCCCGGUUGAGCCGGGGGAUUUCACAAGAUACUUAACGACCCGCCUACACACGCUUUAAGCCCAGUGAUUCCGCCUAACGCUCGGCACCUCUGUCUUACCGCGGCGGCUGGCAC